rnacentral:rRNA from 1 species
GAUGAACGCUGGCGGCGUGCCUAACACAUGCAAGUCGAGCGAAAAGACGAUGAGCUUGUUCUCCUGCCGUUAGCGGCGGACGGGCGAGUAACACGUGGAUAACAUACUUCUUUGUCUGGGAUAAUUUCGGGAAACAGCUGACACUACUGGAUCACAUGUCGUACCGCUUGGAUCAACAGUUCAAGACGCUCUUGCUGUCACUUAUAGCUGGAUCCGCGCCGCAUUAGCUAGUUGGUAAGGUAACGGCUUACCAAGGCAACGAUGCGUAGCCGACCUGAGAGGGUGAUCGGCCACACUGGAACUGAGACACGGUCCAGACUCCUACGGGAGGCAGCAGUGGGGAAUCUUGCGCAAUGGGCGAAAGCCUGACGGAGCAACGCCGCGUGGGUGAAGAAGGUCUUCGGGUCGUAAAGCUCUGUUGUUGGGGAAGAACAGAUGUGGAAGUAUCUAUGCACGUCUUGACGGUACCUAAUCAAAAAGCCACGGCUAACUACGUG